AUUGAACGCUGGCGGCAUGCUUUACACAUGCAAGUCGAACGGUAACAGGCCGCAAGGUGCUGACGAGUGGCGAACGGGUGAGUAAUGCAUCGGAACGUGCCCAGUCGUGGGGGAUAACUACUCGAAAGAGUAGCUAAUACCGCAUACGAUCUAUGGAUGAAAGCGGGGGACCGUAAGGCCUCGCGCGAUUGGAGCGGCCGAUGUCAGAUUAGGUAGUUGGUGGGGUAAAGGCUCACCAAGCCAACGAUCUGUAGCUGGUCUGAGAGGACGACCAGCCACACUGGGACUGAGACACGGCCCAGACUCCUACGGGAGGCAGCAGUGGGGAAUUUUGGACAAUGGGCGCAAGCCUGAUCCAGCAAUGCCGCGUGCAGGAAGAAGGCCUUCGGGUUGUAAACUGCUUUUGUGCGGAACGAAACGGCUCUGGUUAAUACCCGGGGCUAAUGACGGUACCGGAAGAAUAAGCACCGGCUAACUACGUG
rnacentral:rRNA from 1 species